GCCUGGAUAGCUGAGUUGGUUAGAGCAUGGUAGUGAUGACGCCAAGGUUGCAGGUUCGAUCCCUGUAUGAGACA